CCUUGUGCCAGCAGCCGCGGUAAUACCGGUGGCUCGAGUGGUGGCGCUAUAUUGGGUCUAAAGGUCGUACCCGGCUAAUAAAGUUACCUUGGGAAAAUCCGGUGGCCUAACCAUCGGGCGGCCAGGUAAUACUAUCAGGCUCGGGACUAGGAGAGACCAGAGGUACUCAUGAGGUAGGAGUGAAAUCCUGUAAUCUUAUGAGGACCACCAGUGGUGAAGACGUCUGGUUAGAAUAGGUCCGACGGUGAGGGACGAAUGCUGGGGGCGCAAACCGGAUUAGAUACCCGGGUAGUCCCAGCAGUAAACGAUGCCAGCUAUGUGUUGCUGGAACCAUGGGUUCCAGCAGUGCCGAGGGGAAGCCGUGAAGCUGGCCACCUGGGAAGUACGGUCGCAAUGCUGAAACUUAAAGGAAUUGGCGGGGGAGUACCACAACCGGUGGAGCCUGCGGUUUAAUUGGAUACAACGCCGGGAAUCUUACCGGAGGGGACAGCAGUAUGAAGGCCAGGCUAAAGACCUUGCCAGAUCAGCUGAGAGGAGGUGCAUGGCCGUCGCCAGUUCGUACCGUGAGGCAUCCUGUUUAGUCAGGCAACGAUCG
rnacentral:rRNA from 1 species